UCAGGAUGAACGCUGGCGGCGUGCCUAAUACAUGCAAGUCGAGCGAACCACUUUGGUGGUGAGCGGCGAACGGGUGAGUAACACGUAGGUGAUCUGCCCAUCAGACGGGGACAACGAUUGGAAACGAUCGCUAAUACCGGAUAGGACGAAAGUUUAAAGGUGCUUCUGGCACCGCUGAUGGAUGAGCCUGCGGCGCAUUAGCUAGUUGGCAGGGUAAAGGCCUACCAAGGCGACGAUGCGUAGCCGACCUGAGAGGGUGAACGGCCACACUGGGACUGAGACACGGCCCAGACUCCUACGGGAGGCAGCAGUAGGGAAUCUUCGGCAAUGGGCGAAAGCCUGACCGAGCAACGCCGCGUGAAUGAUGAAGGCCUUCGGGUUGUAAAAUUCUGUUAUAAGGGAAGAACGACUUUAGUAGGAAAUGGCUAGAGUGUGACGGUACCUUAUGAGAAAGCCACGGCUAACUACGUGCCAGCAGCCGCGGUAAUACGUA
rnacentral:rRNA from 1 species